CCUACGGGAGGCUGCAGUGGGGAAUAUUGCGCAAUGGGCGAAAGCCUGACGCAGCGACGCCGCGUGAGGGAUGAAGGUCUUCGGAUCGUAAACCUCUGUCAGCAGGGAAGAACGGUCACUGUGCUAAUCAGCAGUGAAUUGACGGUACCUGCAAAGGAAGCACCGGCUAACUCCGUGCCAACAGUCGCGGUAAUACGGAGGGUGCGAGCGUUAAUCGGAAUUAUUGGGCGUAAAGCGCUCGUAGGCGGUAUGUCAAGUCAAGGGUGAAAUCCCCGCGCUCAACGUGGGAACUGCCUUUGAAACUGGCAAACUGGAGUGUGUGAGAGGAUAGGGGAAUUCCAGGUGUAGGAGUGAAAUCCGGAGAUAUCUGGAGGAACAUCAGUGGCGAAGGCGACUAUCUGGCACAUAACUGACGCUGAGGAGCGAAAGCGUGGGUAGCAAACAGGAUUAGAUACCCCAGUAGUC
rnacentral:rRNA from 1 species